rnacentral:lncRNA from 1 species
GGCAACCGGCUCAGGUCCCCUUCUAUUGUGGAAGCUUUGUUCUUUCUCUCUUUGCAAUAAAUCCUGCUGCUGCUCACUCUUUGGGUCCACACUGCCUUUAUGAGCCGUAACAGGUCUGCAGUUUCACUCCUGAGCCGGCGAGACCACGAACCCACCAGAAGGAAAAAACUCCGAACACAUCCGAACAUCAGAAGGAACAAACUCCAGACGCGCCACUUUAAGAGCUGUAACACUCACCGCGAGGGUCCGUGGCUUCAUUCUUGAAGUCAGUGAGACCAAGAACCCACCAAUUCCGGACACAUUGGGAACUUAGAGCAGUGCUUGGGACAUGGUUAUCAGCGUCAGAUAUUUCCUUAAACUAGCGUGAAGUCGACUUUAACCUUCCAGCAGUGUGAGUGAGGGCCCUGACCCUAGAAUCAACGCCCAAAGAGCUGUGGCGCUACAGCGGGCGGGGACAUGGGGUGCGCAUGCGUGCGGGGGGGUACGCGUGCGUGCAAGUGCGCGUGCGCGCGCAGGACCGCUGAGGCGGGAGCCCCGAAUGCGGUUCUCGCUUGCUGCGUGGCGGUAAAGGACCGCAGGUGUCGUAAAAGGGCCGCAGUGGCAGCGUCCUGGCCGACGGCUAGUAGCCCAUUUUGGAUACCGUCCUCGCUGCGGAAAGUUGGGGCAACCUGUUGCUAGUCUGGUCGUUGGUGACAGCGAGGCUUCCGCGCUCGCUGCUGGUGAGCAGCCCCGGCGUGCCCCGCGGGCUGGAAGAGGCGGCGGCGUGAUGCGGCCCGUGGACGCGGACGAGGCGCGGGAGCCCCGCGAGGAGCCGGGCAGCCCGCUGAGCCCCGCGCCCCGCGCCGGCCGCGAGAACCUGGCCUCCCUGGAGCGCGAGCGCGCCCGGGCGCACUGGCGGGCCCGCAGGAAGCUGCUGGAGAUCCAGAGCCUGCUCGACGCCAUCAAGAGUGAGGUGGAGGCAGAGGAGCGGGGCGCCCGGGCCCCAGCACCCCGCCCGCGUGCGGAGGCUGAGGAGCGGGUGGCUCGGCUGUGCGCCGAAGCAGAGAGGAAGGCUGCGGAGGCGGCGCGGAUGGGCAGGCGGAUCGUGGAGCUGCACCAGCGGAUCGCCGGCUGCGAGUGCUGCUGAGCCGGCGAGGCCGCGCGGGUCUGGAGCGGAGCGCGGCGGGGAGUGUCCCGCGUGGAAGGCGCUGGGUAGGCAGGGAGGGGAGCGCAGAGCCGUGCCACGCUCUCCGCGGAGUUGGUUUCAUUCUUUUUUCAUAGUUCAGGACGUAGACCUGGUGGGUCACUACGUGGGGGGAGAGAGGUGUGAAGCGGAGGUACAUGCUGGAAACGUGUGAAUGUUGUUACGAGAUUGGAGCGUUUGCGAUGACCUUCCUGCAGGUGGAAGCAUUGUGCACAGGUGGUUGGGUUUGUUUGACUCCCGGAUAUGAGAAUAUCAAGCUCAAAAUUUAUGUUGUGAUGAUGAAUUUCUCCCACUUGUACUUUAGGUGGCCAACUGACGAACUGUGUUCACCUGAUAAGGAGUCGUGGCUGCUUGGACAGGCUCAAACCAAGAGAGCCUUUCGUUUUGUCUCCCCUGUUUUUCUGCCUGCGUUUUCUCCACAUUAGCCACUCAAUUUCCAGUACCAUCCUGGCGGAUGACUUCAGCAUUAGAUGGUCAGGUGUAUUUUUUUAUUAAUAGGCGCAUUCAGUUUGGAAAAGACAGCUUUUCAUUAAUGUCCCACGUAAAGGAAUAUGGCCUAUACAGUACGUACGCUGCUGCGUGGUCAUAUUUGUUCCUGUGAUCUUAUUGUAUUUUCAAAGUUUGGAAGUAUACUCGUGUGCUUUGCUGUUUUUUUAUGCUUCCUGGAAUUUGGGGACUCAUGAGAGACUUGAGGUUAGAGUUCUGCAAGUGAGAAGACACUACAUGGUUGCAGCUGCCACAUGAAGAACCCAAGCUCCUGUCAAAGUUGUGAAUGCGACUUUGGAUGAGAUUAAGAAGGCCCAGUGGACGGUUGGUCUUGAAGAGUGGCAGUGUGUGGAUUUGAGGACCUCUGCAGACCAUCAGAUCAAAGGAGGGAGAGCUGUUUUGGGUGUUUUGUUUUUUUUGUUUUUAUAGCAUUUUGCUUUUUCUUGGAAUGUAAUUUUCCUAUGGCAUGUUAACUGGUGCACAUCGUGUAACCUGUCUGGUGAGCAACCUACAAUUGGGAUGAGUUCUAGGUACAUGUGUUUGCUGACUUUGGGGUAAACAACUUUGUUAUAAUACAGUCUCUGCCACAGAUGCAUGUGACCUCUUCAGGGGCCCAGAGUGGCUGAGGAAGGAAAGCUUCAAGCUGGCCAUGGGGGUCCCAAACAGUCAUUCCAGGCUUAGAUGAUGACUAGCCUAGGUCAUCAGAGCCCAGACUCCACAGAGACUAAAAUCAGAGCUCUGUCUUGUUAUGAUAAAUUUCAUUUGCUUGGAAAAAGAAAUGCUGAAAGCCAGUGUUUAGAAUCUUUGUGCAGAUGACCAAAGCAAUUGACUUGGCCAAGAAAAGGUAAGGUAAAUAAACAUUUUUCAAAAUGAGUUUCUCCUUGAUAGUGGUCACUGUCAAAUGGAGGAGAAUUGCUUCUGACUCACGAGUUGUUCAAAGCCUGUAGCCCAGGGUGGGGUUUGAGCUGCAGAAGAAGAAGAAGGCAGACCUAGAGUAGGAAAGGGGUGCCUCAUGAAGCCAUAUGGUCUGGCCCCAGCCUUUGGAGAGGUGAAGUCCAUUCAGGCAGCUAGUGUUCACUGUGACCACAGAGCUCCACACUAUGCCAGGCACUAGGAAUUUCUUGGAGAGACGAUCUAGUGGGUUGAGACAGGUCUGAAAACACAAUUACAGUACAGUGUCCGCAAUGCUGGUCUUUGAUUCAACGCAUAAAUUGAGCACCUACAGAUGCUGAGACUACCUGAGUGAACAAAGUGCUUGUAAAAUUGGAUCUGAGGGCCAGGCAUGGUAGCUCAUGCCUGUAAUCCCAUUUCUUUAGGAGGCCUGAGCAGGAGGAUUGCUUGAGGCCAGGAGUUUGAGAUCAGCCUGGG